rnacentral:rRNA from 1 species
AGUGAACGCUGGCGGUAGGCCUAACACAUGCAAGUCGAACGGCAGCACAGGAGAGCUUGCUCUCUGGGUGGCGAGUGGCGGACGGGUGAGGAAUACAUCGGAACCUACUUUUUCGUGGGGGAUAACGUAGGGAAACUUACGCUAAUACCGCAUACGACCUACGGGUGAAAGCAGGGGUCCUUCGGGCCUUGCGCGAUUGAAUGAGCCGAUGUCGGAUUAGCUAGUUGGCGGUGUAAAGGCCCACCAAGGCGACGAUCCGUAGCUGGUCGGAGAGGAUGAUCAGCCACACUGGAACUGAGACACGGUCCAGACUCCUACGGGAGGCAGCAGUGGGGAAUAUUGGACAAUGGGCGCAAGCCUGAUCCAGCCACACCGCGUGGGUGAAGAAGGCCUUCGGGUUGUAAAGCCCUUUUGUUGGGAAAGAAAUCCAGCUGGCUAAUACCCGGUUGGGAUGACGGUACCCAAAGAAUAAGCACCGGCUAACUUCGUGCCAGCCGCCGCAGUAAAAC